CCAGACUCUCCCAUUACAGCUCUCCAGCUGACGCUUCUGCAUCACGAUUCUACCUUCAGCUGAUGCUUUCACAUCUUGAUCCUACCUGCAGCUCAUAGGCUUCCGCAUCUCAAUUCAACCUGCAGCCCAUACACUUCCGCACCCUACUUUGUCAGCAGCACUCUCCCUUGACAGCCUUUCACACACUUCAACACAUAUCGAGGCCAGCAAGUGGUUGCCAUGCUUCACUAACCCAGCAUCUGGUCCUCACACCAACGUUGGGCAGGGAGCUUUCCCCGAUUCUUGGGCACCUUCAGGAAAAUAAUCUGUACAUGUGUAUGCCUUUUGCACCCUGAGGGUCGUGCGCAUUACAAGCUCCUUCCAGUAGGGAAUACACCCCAUGAUUCAUGGGACACUGUAACUGUAACUGUAAUACAUAUGCAAAAGUCUCAAUCACCCACAAAACAAGUAGGGCCCCAGCCCAUCUCAGUAAUGAUGCUGAGGCUGCCUACCCACCCGCGUGUUGGCCACAACUGCUUCCACUAGUUCCUCCAUCAGCACUCAGUGCUGCAUGCCUGACUUUGUCUAGCUUUGAAGAACGGCCCAACUGUAACCCACACGUGCGAUCAUGGCAUCCUUGGCCGUGCAGCAGCUGCAUGCCUGAUGGGCCCCUCCUCCAGAGGCAAACAGGAGGUGCAAAGAUCAAAAGCAUGCACCUUACACAUCUAUCAAAACCAUGCAACUUACACAACUAUCAAACCAUGCAUCUUACGCAUCUAUCAAAACCAUGCACCACAGCAUGCCCACGACAGGAGAACACCGCCAUGUGUGACUGCCAUAAUGACUGUGGCUUAAUUAGCACCAUCAGCUGUGCGAGCCAGCCCCGCCUGAUCAGCAGCAUAAGAAGAGCCUGCGGUUGAGCAAAAGCAGGCGUUGGCCGGUGCAGUGUGCAUUAGUCAGUGCAGCGACUUCAGGCAGGCACCUUUGGCAACAUGUGCACACUCCUAUGCAAGCCCGUCCUUGUCCCUAACAUACCACAGGAGGCCUCACCGUCAUGGUGCCUGCUGUGCAACUUGCAGCGCCUCGAUAUCCUGUUGCAGCUGCACGAUAGUCUGCACCUGCUGUGCGAUAGUCUGCAUCUGCUGCACGAUAGUCUGCGCCUGCUGCACAAUAGUCUGCACCUGCUGCACGAUAGUCUGCACCUGCUGCACGAUAGUCUGCGCCUGCUGCACGAUAGCCUGCACCUGCUGUGUGAUAGUCUGCACCUUCACUCACCCCUGCGUCUCUUGUAGGGCAUGCAGCAGCUGCUGACCAGCAGCUGAAUUCAGACAAGCAUUGCUAGUUGCAUCUGAGCCCGACACAGCAGACAUAGUUCAAGGUCAUCUUGGCAGCCGUGUAAUAUGUGUUGAUAUGCUGAUAUGUGUGAGACUACACCUCGUUCUCAGGCACUUGAGUGAGAACGAGGCACGUGACUUUAGUCUCACACAUAUCAACAUAUGACACAUAUUACACGGCUGCCAAGACGACCUCGAACUCUGUCUGCCAUGUCGGGCUCAGAUGCAACUAGCAACACUUCUCUGAAUUUGGCUGCUGGUCAGCAGCUGCUGCAUGCCCUACAAGAGGUGCAGGGGUGAGUGAACAGCCAGAUGCAGACUAUCAUGCAGCAGGUGCAGACUAUCGUGCAGCAGGCGCAGUCUAUCAUGCAGCAGGUGCAGACUAUCACGCAGCAGGCGCAGACUAUCGUGCAGCAGGCGCAGACUAUCAUGCAGCUGCAAGCCGCGGAGCAGCAGCAGGUGCAGACUAUCAGCAGUGUUCUCCUGUUGUGGGCGCACUGCAGUGCAUGGUUUUGAUAGAUGUGUAAGGUGCAUGGUUUGACAGAUGUGUAAGGUGCAUGGUUUUGAAAGAUGCAUAAGGUGAAUGGUUUUGAUAGAUGCAUAAGGUGAAUGGUUUUGAUCUUCACACCUCCUGUUUGCCUCUGGAGGAGGGGCCCGUCAGGCAUGCAGCUGCUGCACGAUAGCCUGUCCUUGUCCCUAACAUACCGCAGGAGGCCUCACCGUCAUGGUGCCUGCUGCGCAACUUGCAGCACGUCGAUAUCCCGUUGCAGCUGCAGGAUAGUCUGCACCUGCUGCUGCUCCGCAGCUUGCAGCUGCACGAUAGUCUGCACCUGCUGCGCGAUAGUCUGCGCCUGCUGCACGAUAG
rnacentral:lncRNA from 1 species